UAAAUAUUCAUAGGUAACGGUUGGGCAUGCGUCCUAUUAGAUAGUUGGGGGGGUAACGGCCCACCAAGUCGAUGAUAGGUAGGGGUUCUGAGAGGAAGGUCCCCCACACUGGUACUGAGACACGGACCAGACUCCUACGGGAGGCAGCAGUGAGGAAUAUUGGUCAAUGGGCGAGAGCCUGAACCAGCCAAGUCGCGUGAGGGAUGACUGCCCUAUGGGUUGUAAACCUCUUUUGUAUGGGGGGAAUAAGCUUUACGAGUAGAGUGAUGACAGUACCAUACGAAUAAGCAUCGGCUAACUCCGCGCCAGCAGCCGCGGUAAUACGGAGGAUGCGAGCGUUAUCCGGAUUUAUUGGGUUUAAAGGGUGCGUAGGCGGCAUUAUAAGUUAGUGGUAAAAUAUUGGGGCUUCACCUCACUACGCCAUUAAUACUGUAGAGCUAGAGAACAGACGAGGUAGGCGGAAUAAGUUAAGUAGCGGUGAAAUGCAUAGAUAUAACUUAGAACACCGAUAGCGAAGGCAGCUUACCAGACUGAGUCUGACGCUGAUGCACGAGAGCAUGGGUAGCGAACAGGAUUAGAUACCCUGGUAGUCCAUGCCGUAAACGAUGCUCACUGGCCUUAGGCGAUAUAUGGUCU
rnacentral:rRNA from 1 species